GAUGAACGCUGGCGGCGUGCCUAAUACAUGCAAGUCGAGCGAACGGACGAGAAGCUUGCUUCUCUGAUGUUAGCGGCGGACGGGUGAGUAACACGUGGAUAACCUACCUAUAAGACUGGGAUAACUUCGGGAAACCGGAGCUAAUACCGGAUGAUAUUUUGAACCGCAUGGUUCAAAAGUGAAAGACGGUCUUGCUGUCACUUAUAGAUGGAUCCGCGCUGCAUUAGCUAGUUGGUAAGGUAACGGCUUACCAAGGCAACGAUGCAUAGCCGACCUGAGAGGGUGAUCGGCUACCCGGGAACUGAGACACGGUCCAGACACCGACGGUGAGCAGCAGUAGGGAAUCCUCCGCGAUGGACGAGUGCCUGACAUAGCAACGCGGCGGGAGUGAUGAUGGUCUUCGGAUCGGAGAACUCUGUUAUUAGUGAAGAACAAAUGUGUAAGUAACUGUGCAGAUCUUGACGGUACCUAAUCAGAAAGCCACGGCUAACUACGUG
rnacentral:rRNA from 1 species